rnacentral:tRNA from 1 species
GAGGGUAUAGCUCAAAUGUCAGAGCACUUGCCUAGCAUGCACGAGGUCCUGGGUUCAAUCCUUAGUUCCUCCU